UUUUCCUCUUUCACCCUGUCUAGGUUGCCAGCAAAUCCCACGGGCCUCCUGACGCUGCCCCUGGGGCCACAGGUCCCUCGAGUGCUGGAAGGAUGAAGGAUUCCUGCAUCACCGUGAUGGCCAUGGCGCUGCUGUCUGGGUUCUUUUUCUUCGCGCCGGCCUCGAGCUACAACCUGGACGUGCGGGGCGCGCGGAGCUUCUCCCCACCGCGCGCCGGGAGGCACUUUGGAUACCGCGUCCUGCAGGUCGGAAACGGGGUCAUCGUGGGAGCUCCAGGGGAGGGGAACAGCACAGGAAGCCUCUAUCAGUGCCAGUCGGGCACAGGACACUGCCUGCCAGUCACCCUGAGAGGUUCCAACUAUACCUCCAAGUACUUGGGAAUGACCUUGGCAACAGACCCCACAGAUGGAAGCAUUUUGGACAGAGGUGUUCCGGGAGGAGCUGGGGGCCCGGCCAGAUGCCACCAAAGUGCUUAUCAUCAUCACGGAUGGGGAGGCCACUGACAGUGGCAACAUUGAUGCGGCCAAAGACAUCAUCCGCUACAUCAUCGGGGUAGG
rnacentral:sRNA from 1 species